rnacentral:rRNA from 1 species
AGCGAACGCUGGCGGCAGGCUUAACACAUGCAAGUCGAGCGGGCACUUCGGUGUCAGCGGCCGCCGGGUGAGUAACACCUGGGAACGUACCCUUUGGUUCGGAAUAACGCAGGGAAACUAGCGCUAAUACCGGAUCCGACCUUUUUGGGACAGGCUUGCUGCCGAAGGAUCGGGCCGCGUCCGAUUAGCUAGUCGGUGGGGUGAUGGCCUACCAAGGCGACGAUCAGUAGCUGGUCUGAGAGGAUGAUCAGCCACACUGGGACUGAGACACGGCCCAGACUCCUACGGGAGGCAGCAGUGGGGAAUAUUGGACAAUGGGCGCAAGCCUGAUCCAGCCAUGCCGCGUGAGUGAUGAAGGCCUCAGGGUUGUAAAGCUCUUUUGUCCGGGACGAGAAUGACGGUACCGGAAGAAUAAGCCCCGGCUAACUUCGUG